rnacentral:rRNA from 1 species
ACUACCUUGAGNGCUGGGAUAAACCUGGGAAACUGGGUAUAAUACCGGAUAGGCCUCGACUGCUGGAAUGCAUCGAGGCUGAAAGCUCCGGCGCCUAAGGAUGGGUCUGCGGCCUAUCAGGGUAGUAGUGGGUGUAAUGUACCUACUAGCCUACGACGGGUACGGGUCGUGAGAGCGAGAGCCCGGAGAUGGAUUCUGAGACACGAAUCCAGGCCCUACGGGGUGCAGCAGGCGCGAAAACUUUACAAUGCUGGAAACAGCGAUAGGGGGACUUUGAGUGCCAGGAUACAAUUCUGGCUGUCGUCGUGCCUAAAAAGCACGGCAUAGCAAGGGCCGGGCAAGACCGGUGCCAGCCGCCGCGGUAACACCGGCGGCUCGAGUGGUAACCGCUAUUAUUGGGUCUAAAGGGUCUGUAGCCGGCUGAAAAAGUCUCUUGGGAAAUCUGGCUGCUCAACAGUCAGGCUUUCAGGAGAUACUCUUCGGCUCGAGACCGGGAGAGGUGAGAGGUACUUCAUGGGUAGGGGUGAAAUCUUGUAAUCCUUGAAGGACCACCAGUGGCGAAGGCGUCUCACCAGAACGGAUCUGACGGCAAGGGACGAAAGCUAGGGGCACGAACCGGAUUAGAUACCCGGGUAGUCCUAGCCGUAAACGAUACUCGCUAGGUGUCGGCCACGGUGCGACCGUGGUCGGUGCCGUAGGGAAGCCGUGAAGCGAGCCACCUGGGAAGUACGGCCGCAAGGCAGAA